rnacentral:lncRNA from 1 species
CAUCCUCAACAAGUCCAGUGUCACGACCCAAAUUCGGGAUCGUGAUGACACCUAUCCCCUCCGCGAUAGGUAAGCCAAAAACUCAAUUCCAAGAACAACAUCUCAAACUCAUAGAAACGGGAGAAAAUAGAACAUAACUUAUUCCGAAUAAUCUCAUAAGUAGAUACAUAGUCUAGUAAAAUCAAUUCGUAGAUGAUCCCAGGUCUGGAAGUCACUAAUACAAGUCAAUAAAAUAUAGAACCCAAAGAAAAUUCGAGUCUUUCAAAAUGCGAAAAUUGCAUAAGAAUAAAGCUGAAGGAGAUUUCAGUAGUCGUUGAAACCAGUAGCAGUUACCUCGAAUCUCCGAUGAUGCUAGCAACGAAGGAACCACAAGAAUCAAUAUCCAGAGGUCGUCGGAUCUGUACCUGCACGUAAGGUGCAGAAAAAGCAAGAGUGAGUACGGAACCACGUGUACUCAGCAAUCAUCGUCGACCGACCCUAAUUCAAAGUGGUGACGAGUGACACCACAUAGAACAUUUAAACACAAAUAUACAAUCUGCACUCAGGAAGGCCACAUUAAUCAAACAGAAUAGUCCAGUUUAACAGUCAUAAAGAUAUCAUAACAUAAUCCAAGAAUUUCUCAAUUAGGCAAAAUAUAUAAUAAUUACAAGGUCACAAUCCACUUUAACCAUUUCGAAGCAAAUAAAACAAUGCAAUGCGAUGCAAUGAAAUGCAAAUAUAUAUACUGUGCAGGUGUGCACUCCGAUCCUAUAAAUAUAUAUAUAAUAUUGUGCAGGCGUGCACUCCGACCCCAUAAAUAUAUAUAAUAUACUGUGCAGGCGUGCACUCCGAUCCCAUAAAUAUAUAUAAUAUAUUGUGCAGGCGUACACUCCGAUCCAAUAUGAAAUGUAAUGCAUGAUGUACAAGCAUGCAACUCCGAUCCCAAGUCAAAUCAGACAUCUAUUUCAAAGUUAAUUUAUCAAGUGAGAGUAUCAUCAUUAACUAGCUUUUUCAAUAAUCACCAUAAUAAUCAGUACAUCAGCUAGCAUAUAGGGAAAACAGUUCAAAACAUAUAAUUAACUUAUUUUAUCCCUUCAAGUGACAUCGGUACCCGCACAGAUGCUCGUCACAAUCAUUCAUACAGGACCCCCAAAUUCUCAUUACUCCCAUUACACAUAACUAACAAAUAUUCAAGUAAGCACGUUGAAAAAGAGUCUAAGGAAAGUCUCAACUUGCCUCAAACCGAAGCCAAGCGUCAAUUUACAAACUUCCCCUUUCGUAAAGCUUCUGAAUGAUUAAGAUCUGUCCAUAUAUAUAUUUUUCGUAAAAAUACAAUUUUAAUAUCACCUAUUUUAUAAAUUCUUACUUUAAAAAUUCUAGAGCUAAAACCUAAAUUUAUUGAAGUAGUGACUAAACAAAAUAUGGUGAUCUAAGACUAAGAAAAUAUAAUAAAAAACGAUGAUUGCAGUACUACUUUUACACGUAGAAUUCCCUUAAUCCUAUAUCUAUUGAAGGAAAGAAUAGGAAAAAGCACGAGAAUUUCUGAAAUUGAGGCAAAAUAGAAAACAUUAGAUUAUAAUUUAUUUUAACAACAAUUACUGGAGUCAUGUGAAUCACUGACAGCAACACCUAAAUCUUAUUACUAUUUCCUUGGAAUCUAAUCAUUAGCAUAUUAUAUUAUUAUUCUUUAACUUAGCAAAACAAUAAAACAAAAUAAUGGUAUAACCAAGACUUUCCACAAUUACUAAUGGUUUUAACACCAGUAGGAACAAAAUAAAAACAAGAAACGUUGGAAGCAAUAUUGCAACUGGACGGUAGUAAUGAAAUUUGGCAAAUUUCUUUUCUGUUUCUAUUCAACGUUAAAAGUACCAAGAAGCCUUUCACAAUCGGUUCAUGAGAUUUACACUAUCUCGAAAUAAUAAUAAACAGGCCACCCUAUAUAUGUAUAACAACUCAAAAUACUUCUAACCUGAAGUUUAGCCAAGAGAUCUACUUACGCAGAUGAGGAAGAUAAUACCGCUAACUGUCGUGCCCUCUUCUGUAAGUGCUAACUUCGUCUUGCUCAAUUCAUCACUCUCUUUCUCGAUCUCUCCCUAUCCCGUGUGUAUGUGUGCUUGAAAGAUGGAAGAUUAACUAUGUGGGUUGGUUGUUGGUGUGUUGCUGUGAAUAUAUGGUAGAAGAUGAGAGUGAUGAGAGUAUAUAUCUUGUAAAAAAAGAGAAUAAAAAAAAAACAGAAUCAGUGGUGUGUGAAUAACGACGUCUGCAUAUUGAUGGUAAAGUGGGAGUAUUAUUGUGAGUGGAAUCUUUGUGGAAGAUGAGGUGUGUGUUUCCAUUAAGUAGGGCGAUUACAUCAUCCACCACUAAAACAAGCGUUCAUCCUCGAACGUAAAGAAAUGGAAGGUACCUGGGCUCUCAAAAGGAUAAGGGUAUCUACUCCGUAUGUUGGACUCAACCUCCCAAGUGGAUUCAGCAACUGGACGAUGCCUCCACUGCACCUUCACAGAGGCUAUCUCCUUGGAUCGUAACUUUCUAACCUGCCUAUCUUAGAUAGCUAUAGGUUUUUCCUCAAAAGUCAAAUUCUUGUCCAGACUCACUGAGUCCCACUGAAUUACAUGCGAAUCAUCUGGAUAGUACCUCUUCAACAUAGAAACAUGAAAGACUGGAUGUACAGCUGAAAUACCUGGUGGUAAAGCCAACUCAUAAGAAAUUGGACCAACACGCCGAAGAAUCUCAAAAGGGCCAAUAAACCUCGGACUAAGCUUUCCUUUCUUUCCAAAGCUCGUCACACCCUUCAUGGGUGAUACCUUCAACAAUACUCGCUCACCCUGCAUGAAUUCCAAGUCACGGACUCUUCUGCCAGCAUAACUCUUCUGUCUACUCUGAGCCGCCAAAAGCCACUCCUGGAUCAAUCUAACUCGGUCCAUGGAAUCUCUCAACAAAUCAGUACCCCAAGGUCUAACUUCAAAAGAAUCAAACCAUCCAACUGGAGACCUACACUUCCUACCAUACAAAGCCUCGAAUUGAGCCAUCUGAAUACUAGAGUGGUAGCUAUUAUUAUAAGAGAACUCCACUAAGGGAAGAAACUGAUCCCAAUGACCCCCAAAAUCCAUCACACAAGCUCAUAACAUGUCCUCUAACACUUGAAUAGUCCGCUCUGACUGACCAUCUGUUUGGGGAUGAAAUGUUCAUGUCCAACUGAGUACCCAACUCCCGCUGCAAAGUAUGCCAAAAGUUUGAAGUGAACUGAGUACCUCUAUCUGAAAUGAUGGAAACAGGCACGCCAUGCAAUCGAACUAUCUCACGAAUGUAAAUCUUAGUUAAUUUCUCCACAUUAUAGCUCAUUUUCACUGGCACAAAAUGGGCUGAUUUGGUCAAUCUGUCCACAAUCACCCAAUAGAAUCAAACUUCCCCAAUGUUUGAGGCAACCCAACUACAAAAUCCAUAGUGAUACGCUCCCACUUCCACUCCAGAAUGGGCAUCCUUUGAAGCAAACCACCUGGCCUCCUGUGUUCAUGUUUCACCUACUGGCAAUUCAAACACUUAGCCACAAACUCUGCAACAUCUCUCUUCAUCCCACACCACCAGUAAUGUUACUUAAGGUCAUGAUACAUUUUCACCGCACCUGGAUGAAUGGAAUAGUGAGAACAAUGGGCCUCCUCCAUAAUAAAUCUAGUUAAGUCACCCACUCUAGGAACACAUAUCCGCCCUUUAAUCCUCAAUACACCCUCCUGAUCCAAAAUCGCCUCCUUAGCCUUACCUCGCAUCACCUUAUCUCUGAUAAUACACAACUUUUUGUCCUCGAACUGACGAUCUCGAAUCUUCUCUAACAACGAGGACCUCGCCUCCACAUAUGCCAAAACUCUACUUAAUUCAGAAAUAUCAAGACGUACAAAACUGUUGGCCAACCGUUGAACCUGCCUGGCUAAUGGCCACUCCUCCACACUCAACAAUUCAAGACUACCCAUGCUAACUGCUUUCCAACUCAAGGCAUCUGCUACUACGUUGGCCUUGCCCGGAUGAUACAGGAUAGUCAUAUCAUAAUCUUUCAACAACUCCAUCCACCUAUGCUGUCUCAAAUUCAACUCCUUCUGCUUGAAAAUAUACUGAAGGCUGCGAUGAUCAGUGUAUACCUCACAAUGAACCCCGUACAAAUAGUGUCGCCACAACUUCAAUACGAACACAACUGCUAGUAACUCUAAAUCAUGAGUAGGAUAAUUCUUCUCAUGUGGCUUCAACUGCCUCAAAGCAUACGCUACCACCUUAUUUUUCUACAUCAACACAUCACCCAAGCCAAUACCGAAAGCAUCACAAAACACGGUGAAACCCUCGCCUUCAAUGGGUAGGGUCAAGAUAGGAGCUGAAGUCAACAAAGUCUUGAGCUUUUGAAAGCUCUCUUCGCACUUAUCUGACCACUGAAAAGCCACAUUUUUCUGAGUCAAUCGAGUCAUAGGAGCUGCAAUAGAAGAAAAACCCUACACAAAUCGCCUAUAAUAGCCUGCCAACCCAAGAAAACUCCAAAUAUCUGAAGCUAAAGUAGGUCGUGACCAAUCCCUAACUGCCUCAACCUUGGCCAGAUCGACCAUAAUACCAUUCUUAGACACCACGUGUCCCAAGAAUGCCACAGAACUGAGCCAAAAUUCAUACUUUGAAAACUUGGCAUAUAACUUCUCGUCCCUCAAUCUCUGGAGUACAAUCCUUAACUGUUUUUCAUAAUCUGCAUGACUCUUAGAAUACACCAAAAUUUCAUCGAUGAACACAAUCACAAAAAAAUCAAGAUAAGGCCGAAACACCCUGUUCAUCAACUCCAUGAAUGCUGCUGGAGCAUUAGUCAAGCCAAAAGACAUAACUAAGAACUCAUAAUGACUGUAUCUGGUCCAAAAAGCAGUCUUAGGAAUGUCCGAAACUCAAAUCUUCAAUUGAUGAUACCCCGAUCUCAAAUCGAUCUUCGAAAACACAGAAGCACCCUGAAGCUGAUCAAACAAAUCAUCAAUAGGCGAAAGAGGAUAUUUAUUCUUGAUUGUCACUUUGUUCAACUGCCGAUAAUCAAUGCACAUUCUCAUAGACCUAUCUUUCUUCUUCACAAAUAACACCGGAGCACCCCAAGGUGACACACUUGGUCGAAUAAAUCCCUUGCUUAACAAGUCCUGAAGCUGAUCUUUUAAUUCUUUCAGCUCAGUUGGCGCCAUCCUAUAAGGAGGAAUAGAAAUGGGCUUAGUACCCGGCUCCAGAUCAAAGCGAAGUUAAUAUCUCUAUUAGGAGGAACACCCGGAAGAUCAGUUGGAAAUACAUCUAUGAACUCUCUAACCACCUUCACGGACUCUAAAGAAGGUGUCUCAGUACCAGUAUCACGAACAUAAGCUUAAUAUGAUAGACAACCCUUCUCAACUAACUGUUGAGCCUGAAUGAAUGAAAUCACCUUCUUAGGAUACGAACUUCGAACACCGCUCCACUCUAAUCUAGGGAGAUCAAGCAUUGUUAAUGUAACUGUCUUGGCAUGACAGUCCAAGAUAGCAUGAUAAGGAGAAAGUCAAUCCAUGCCUAAAAUUACAUCAAAGUAGACCAUAUCUAGGAGAAUUAAAUCUACCCAGGUAUUACGCCCCAAAAUAGAAACAAUGCAAGACUGGUACACCCGAUCCACCACUAAGUAUCACCUACUGGAGUAGAAACACGAAUAGGUACAGCCAUAGACUCACAACUCAUAUCAAAGCUGGAAGCGAAGUAUGCAGACACAUAGAAGAAAGUGGAACCAGGAUCAAAUAAUACUGAAGCUGGUCGAUGACAAACAGAGACGAUACCUUUAAUGACAGCAUCAAAAGACUCUACCUCGGUCUUCCCUGGAAAGGCAUAACACUGAGCUCGGUUAUCUAUCGGCUGAGUCACUCCUCUACCACCUCCCCUACUGGCUGGUGGUGUACCUCUACCUCCCUGAGGUCUGCCUCUACCCCUAACUGGGGGCACUGCUGCUCUAAUAGGAGCCUGAUAACUCUGUUGUGGACAUCUCUGCCUGUAUGCCUGUAUGCUGGACAAUCUUUCCGAAAAUAAUCCGGACUACCACACUCAUGACAAGUCUUCGGAGCCAUCAACUGUCGAGAAGGACCUGUAUCCGGUAUGACCGCCACGACCGAAAAAUCGCUGAGAUAAACCCUGUGAAACCUGUCCCGAACCAUAAGAACUCCGGCCUUAAUAUCCGCCUUCUGUUGUUUGCAUUACUGCCUGAAUUGGCCUAUUAUACUGAGGGCUCAAAUCUCUUCGAAAAGAACCCCUACCUACAGAUGAGGUACCGCUGAAUCGACCUACAGUACGGGACCUCUUGUCCCUCAGAUCCCCAUAAAUCUCACGAUGCAUCAACUCAAACUCCUUUGCCGAUUCGACCACCCUCUGAAGAGAAGCCCCAAAUUGGGCUAUAGCAAAUACAGCCUCUCUGAUCCUAAGUUUCAAACCCCUCAUAAACUUUCUGAUCAUCUCGACCUCGUCUGGUAAGAUCACCAUAGCAUAAUGGGCUAAGGAAUAAAAUAGUCUCUCGUACUCAGCCACAGAAAUGCCCUCCUGCGUCAAAUUCUCAAACUGAUGUCUGCGCUCCUCCCUUAAGCUACGAGGAACGAAUCUAUCGAGGAAGGCCUGUGCAAAUAUAGCCCAUGUCAUCGGUGGAGAACCUACAGGCCUCGUGUCAAUAUAAGAACGCCACCACUGCUUGGCAGGACCACGCAUCUAUAAAGCAGUAUAAGUAACUCCAUGGGAGUCAACCAAUCCUACACUUUGUAAUCUCUCAUGGAAACUGACUAGAAACUCGUAGACAUCCUUACGUAGAUCCCCCUAAAACUUUGGUGGAUCCAUCUUUCUAAACUUCUCAAACCGUUGCUACUCCAUAUCAUACAUAUGCAUCAUACCUCCACCGGUAGCCACAACCACUGGUAACGGCAUGCCAUCAUACCUUGGUACUGGCUGGACCACUGGACCCUGAUAGAUCGAAAUAGGCUGUUGGUCUGGGGUCUGCACCCUCACCUUAACUUGUGAACCCUACGGACUACUAAGAGAUCCGCUUCCCUAAACUAUAGUCUCCAAAACACCCAACAUUUUAUCCAAGGUAUUCUGAAAAUAUGAUGCGGCAACAAACCCUGGUGGUGCCUGACUUGAGCCCGCAUCAUCAGCUAGAACUUGAACACCAUCGUCGCAUGCAACAAACUCAGCCUCGGGAGCAGCUCCUCGAGCUCCUUCUCUAUCACGACCUCCGUCUCUACCGCGUCUCCUACCCCAUCCAGAUAUCCUCUCUCGAGUAAUUAGCUCAAGGGCUGGUGAGGGUGCCUGACCACGAUCCUAAGGUACACGAGUCCUCACCAUCUGUGAAAGAAUAAGACAAGAAUUUUAGUAUUUAAAGUUAAAAGAUAAAUACCGCACGAUAAGAGAGAAUAAAAUGAAUGUUUCCUAAAGUCCUAUAGCCUCUCGAAGAUAAGUAACAGACGUCUCCGCACCAAUCCACAAGCCUCUACUAGACUCGGCUCGUAUUUGAGAGACCAAUAAACCUGAGCGCUCUAAUACCAUCUUGUCACGACUCGAAUUCGGGAUCGUGAUCGCACCUAUUCCAUCCUCCGUGAUAGGCAAGGCAAAAACUCAAUUCCAAGAACAACAUCUCAAACUCAUAGAAACGGGAGAAAAUAAAACAUAAUUUAUUCUGAAUAAUCUCAUAAGUAGAUACAUAGUCUAGUAAAUCAAUUCAUAGAUGAUCCCAGGUCUGGAAGUCACUAAUACAAGCCAAUAAAAUAUAGAACCCAAAGAAAAUUUGAGUCUUUCAAAAUGCGAAAAAUGCAAAAGAAUAGCUGAAGGAGAUUUCAGUAGUCGCUGAAACCAGUAGCAGCUACCUCGAAUCUCCGAUGAUGCUAGCAACGAAGGAACCACAAGAAUCAAUAUCCAGAGAUCGU